GCCCUUAUAGCUCAGUGGUAGAGCGCAUCACUAGUAUGUGUGAUUUGCACAUGAUGAGGUCCUCUGUUCGAUCCAGGGUGAGGGCA